rnacentral:snoRNA from 1 species
CUGCGAUGAUGAUAAUCACGCCAAGUGCGAUGGUGGGUCCGUCGCUUUCUCUGAUCCGUCAGAUGAAAAUGAGGCGCUUCUGAGCAU